UUUAUUUUCAUCUCAGUUCUGACCUGAAUAUGCAUACCAGCUGUCUAAUGAUGUCAUGAGCUCUGAGAUCUGCCAUCUCUAAACUCAGUCUGAAUCCUGUACCUGUUCUAAACUGGAAUAUCUGUGUACUUACACACAUAGGAGGAGUUUCUGUAUCCUCUCUUGCCACCUAACACAGUGAAUCCUGGCUAGUCUGAGGACACUGAAUCACUCUUCGUUCUGCUCACCAUUUGCAUUUUGAUUCCAGGCUGCCAUUCCAAGACAGAUGAUGAACUUUGCCUGUGAUGAAUUGCAGAGGCUUUGGAUAAAGGGCGAAUGUUGAUCUUCAUGGAUAGGAUUUCUUCUCUAUGGGAGAAGUCCAGGGAUGUGUAGGAGGCAGAGGAUCUACCUUGUGACAGUGAUACUUUGAAUUUGCUGGCCCAAAGUAGAAGAGGAAGUGGAGGGGCUUGGUUUCCAAGGAAAGAAGCUGGAGAACAGUGCAAAAAGAAGGGAGCUGUGAAUGAAAUAGAGGGCAAGUGGAAGACAGACCAUUAUUCUCCUUGUUGCAUCCACUUCUGCCUUGAGGCAGUGAAGAGGGCUCCUGUUUGCGCUGCAUCUCUGCACAGUUUCACUGAAAUUGAAUCAUCUCCAAUGUAUCUGCUAAACCCUGGCUAAAGACAAGAAGGUCUGAACACAGCAAGCCUACAUCCUGCUGGACUUACUCAGAACAUGAAGACAACGAAAUGCAGAAGGCCAAGAUGACCCAACUUCAGUCCAG